ensembl:lncRNA
UGGCAGGAUGCCUCUCAGCCUUUCUCUAUUUGUUUUCCAUUACCUUUCAUUUUCGGCAUGCCUCUAGUAUUUUUUACUUUUUAUACAUAUUUAUGUUUUGUCACCAUCUGAACACAUAAUACUCUGCUUGGACUGGCCGACCAUGGGAGUCAUGACUGAGCUGGCCCUGGACCUAAGGCAUUCUUAUGAGCCGUCCUUCCCUCAGCAGCCUCCACUGCACUACACCUGAGGGAGAAGCACGAAGGGGAGAAAGUACAGGAGGAGGCCCAGCUGUUGGAGUUUGUCCGAGUCCGACAGAACCUGAAAAAGAUCCAGGCUUUCCACAAGGCCACAAACUCUUGAGUUAGUUGCGUGGAUGGGCUUGGAAUAGACUGACUGACACAGAGUAGACUGUUGUACUGAAUGUUGCCUGGGAAAGGACAUAAAUCAGCAUUGACUCUCUCCCAACUUCUCCAAAAUGGCUUCCUUACACUGUCCUGCACAUUGACAAUACUGCGUUUGUGUGCAGAGUCAGAAACUCAAACAAUAUCACUGGUUCGAUUUGAAGGCAUAAGGAUACCUUGAACAUGGAAAUAUUUUAAGCCAAGGAGAAACAUCGACAAAUGUUCUCAUUUGAACUAGUUGUGGGGGAAUAAAAAAACAAUAUUGCUGUUCAAUGGAUCAGUCGAAAGGGUGUGGAUCUAUGGUUGGGAUGUUAGGACUCAAGACAGUAUUCAGUCAAUUGUGAAUAUAAAACUGUACUUUAGAAUUGAGGAAAAUGCAGUAUAAAAAAGACACUUGUAGAUGUUGUCCUUUGAGUUUGAUCAUGUAUACAGUACCCUUUUCUUGCCUUUUUGCUGUGGAGCUCAAAUUAGCCAAUGUCAGUAUUGUGAGUUUAGGCAUGUGUCUCUAUCAGUCUCUUUCAGUCAGAUAGGGGGAAAACUUGGGUUGUUACUUUUUCCUAUGUCAGACAAAUGAAAA